rnacentral:lncRNA from 1 species
GAAGCAGAAGUAUGAGGAGUCCCAGUCAGAGCUGGAGUCUUCCCAGAAGGAGGCGCGCUCCCUGAGCACAGAGCUCUUCAAGCUCAAGAAUGCCUAUGAGGAGUCUCUGGAGCACCUGGAGACCUUCAAGCGGGAGAACAAGAACCUCCAGGAGGAGAUCUCAGACCUGACUGAACAGCUGGGAGAAGGGGGUAAAAAUGUGCACGAGCUGGAGAAGAUCCGCAAACAGCUGGAGGUGGAGAAGCUGGAACUGCAGUCAGCCCUGGAGGAGGCUGAGGCCUCCCUGGAGCAUGAGGAGGGCAAGAUCCUCCGAGCCCAGCUGGAGUUCAACCAGAUCAAGGCAGAGAUCGAAAGGAAGCUGGCAGAGAAGGACGAGGAGAUGGAGCAGGCCAAGCGCAACCACCUGCGGGUGGUGGACUCCCUGCAGACCUCCCUGGAUGCCGAGACGCGCAGCCGCAACGAGGCCCUGCGGGUGAAGAAGAAGAUGGAGGGCGACCUCAAUGAGAUGGAGAUCCAGCUCAGUCAGGCCAAUAGAAUAGCCUCAGAGGCCCAGAAGCACUUGAAGAACGCCCAAGCCCACUUGAAGGUAACAGGAUCCAGGCGUCUAGACGGUGGUGAGUCGGAGUAUGUACAGUGCCAGAAAGACGAAAAGGUCCACAACCACACCUCUCUGAGUAUACACUAUCUUGUCUGAUCUUGGAAGCUAAGAGGGCUGGGCCUGGUUAACGCUUGAAAAGGAGAUAGUAACGGACAGG